CAGACUGUCAACACACUCUCAACGGUUUUUGUUCACAUACAAGUGUGUGCAGCUCUGCUAAGCUGUGGAAACUUCUCUCCUCCACAAAAUGUCUCACAUCCUACAACCUCAUCAUCUGCAG